CCGGAUGGUGCGUUUCAUUUCUUAUCAAAAGGCUUGAGCGCUGCCUCAAAUGGGGACUAUUCAUUACGGCAUGAAGAUGACAACCAGAGUCUGACUAGGAAUGGUGGAAGGAUGCAACGUCAAAAAACAUUAGCAGAUAUGGAGGAAGUUUCA
rnacentral:ribozyme from 1 species